UUUCUACUCCCUCCGUCCGAAAAUACUUGUCAUCAAAAUGGAUAAAAAGAGAUGUAUCUAAAACUAAAAUACGUCUAGAUACAUUUCCUUUUAUCCAUUUUGAUGACAAGUAUUUCCGGACGGAGGGAAUAUUUG
rnacentral:pre_miRNA from 1 species